rnacentral:rRNA from 1 species
GGCGAGUGAAGCGGCAACAGCUCAAAUUUGAAAUCUGGCGUCUUUGGCGUCCGAGUUGUAAUUUGCAGAGGGCGCUUUGGCAUUGGCAGCGGUCCAAGUUCCUUGGAACAGGACGUCACAGAGGGUGAGAAUCCCGUACGUGGUCGCUAGCCUUUACCGUGUAAAGCCCCUUCGACGAGUCGAGUUGUUUGGGAAUGCAGCUCUAAAUGGGAGGUAAAUUUCUUCUAAAGCUAAAUACUGGCCAGAGACCGAUAGCGCACAAGUAGAGUGAUCGAAAGAUGAAAAGCACUUUGGAAAGAGAGUUAAAAAGCACGUGAAAUUGUUGAAAGGGAAGCGCUUGCAGCCAGACUUGCCUGUAGUUGCUCAUCCGGGUUUCUACCCGGUGCACUCUUCUAUAGGCAGGCCAGCAUCAGUUUGGGCGGUUGGAUAAAGGUCUCUGUCAUGUACCUCCUUUCGGGGAGAACUUAUAGGGGAGACGACAUGCAACCAGCCUGGACUGAGGUCCGCGCAUCUGCUAGGAUGCUGGCGUAAUGGCUGUAAGCGGCCCGUCUUGAAACACGGACCAAGGAGUCUAACAUCUAUGCGAGUGUUUGGGUGUCAAGCCCGAGCGCGUAAUGAAAGUGAACGGAGGUGGGAACCUUUCGGGGUGCACCAUCGACCGAUCCUGAUGUCUUCGGAUGGAUUUGAGUAAGAGCAUAGCUGUUGGGACCCGAAAGAUGGUGAACUAUGCUUGAAUAGGGUGAAGCCAGAGGAAACUCUGGUGGAGGCUCGCAGCGGUUCUGACGUGCAAAUCGAUCGUCAAAUUUGGGCAU